UGGGGAAUAUUGCACAAUGGGCGCAAGCCUGAUGCAGCCAUGCCGCGUGUAUGAAGAAGGCCUUCGGGUUGUAAAGUACUUUCAUCGGGGAGGAAGGGAGUAAAGUUAAUACCUUUGCUCAUUGACGUUACCCGCAGAAGAAGCACCGGCUAACUCCGUGCCAGCAGCCGCGGUAAUACGGAGGGUGCAAGCGUUAAUCGGAAUUACUGGGCGUAAAGCGCACGCAGGCGGUUUGUUAAGUCAGAUGUGAAAUCCCCGGGCUCAACCUGGGAACUGCAUCUGAUAAUGGCAAGCUUGAGUCUCGUAGAGGGGGGUAGAAUUCCAGGUGUAGCGGUGAAAUGCGUAGAGAUCUGGAGGAAUAACGGUGGCGAAGGCGGCCCCCUGGACGAAGACUGACGCUCAGGUGCGAAAGCGUGGGGAGCAAACAGG
rnacentral:rRNA from 1 species